GUGAUAUAGUAUUUCAAACGGCUUCAGGCCUUCUGUUCUGCCCGUGAGUGUUCUAGCAGACGGACUCCCUUUUCUCGCCAAGAUUAACAUUUCAUAUGAUCGUUCUUGACAGAGGAUUUUCUUACAGAGGCCCCUUAAAGGAUAACCAAAAAAGGGCAUUUUUGGGGUGAAAAGUCUCAGUCACGACGAGGACUCCUACUAAGAAGUCCGGGUUCAGGAAUGCGUUAACCUUCUAUCCCUAAUUGAAUUCAUAACUUAUUUUUUAAAUAGACUCGAGUUUGAGAGAACGAGAGCUUUAUCGCUGUAUGAGUUUUGGAGGCAGGGAAACUAUAGGGAGAGGAGAGCGGCUACCAGAAGGAAACCUAGAUGUGUGCGAUUAUGUUUUAAAGGGAGGGGCUUGGGACUUUUUUCAUCAUUGCAUUACAGUGAGGAACCAGCAGAAUUACACACUCCCCUCACUGGCCUCUGUGGUUGUCUGAGACAUCGACUGAAGAGUACAACUUAACUUUUCUCCCCGUAUCAAGAUCCGCAGGCCACCGGUGAGCAUUCCACGAGAUCCCUCCUCCACCUCCUCUCAUCCUCUGGUGUAAAGCAUGGAGGACAUGGACUUCGAGAGGCGCCGGGAGCUCAGACGGCAGAAGCGUGAGGAGAUGCGCCUGGAAGCUGAACGAUAGGGCCUGUCUGUCUGUCUGUCUGUCUGUCUGUCUGUCUGUCUGUCUGUCUGUCUGUCUGUCUGUCUGUCUGUCUGUCUCUGUCUGUCUGUCUGUCUCUGUCUCUCUGUCUCUCUCUCUCUCUCUCUCUCUCUCUCUCUCUCUCUCUCUCUCUCUCUCUCUCUCUCUCUCUCUCUGCCUGUCUGCCUCCCUUUGUCUGUCUGCCUCCCUUUGUCUGUCUGUCUGUCUGCCUCUCUUUGUCUCUCUGUCUGUCUGUCUGUCUGCAUAAGUUUGUCCAUUUUUAAAUUUUCAUUCAUUUUCUUGACUGACUCUCUGCCUGUCUAUAGACAAACAACAGCUAAUACACUUCAAUAAUACAUACAUCUUCCCUCGUUACGUCCCAUAAAGUCCAUUGUAGUUCUUAUCCCUAUCCUUGACAGUGGUAUAUCUAUCUAAGUGUAGUAUUCGUUUCGUCCAGAGAGGGCGCCAUUGUGCUCGUACUCCAGGGUCACGUGGCUCCAGUGUUCUGUGGUUUGUUACAGUACACCUCCUGUCAGAUGUCCUCACCCGGCUGGAACCAGAGACCAUUAAUGCAGCACUUUAAGAGCUUGUAGAGCCUCCGCUGACCCUAUAAAGAAU
ensembl:lncRNA